UUAGCAUAUCAAUAAGCGGAGGAAAAGAAACUAACAAGGAUUCCCCUAGUAACUGCGAGUGAAGCGGGAAGAGCUCAAAUUUAAAAUCUGGCGUCUUCGGCGUCCGAGUUGUAAUUUAGAGAAGCGUUUUCCGCGCUGGACCGUGUACAAGUCUCCUGGAACGGAGCGUCAUAGAGGGUGAGAAUCCCGUCUUUGACACGGACCCCCAGUGCUCUGUGAUACGCUCUCGAAGAGUCGAGUUGUUUGGGAAUGCAGCUCAAAAUGGGUGGUGAACUCCAUCUAAAGCUAAAUAUUGGCGAGAGACCGAUAGCGAACAAGUACCGUGAGGGAAAGAUGAAAAGCACUUUGGAAAGAGAGUGAAACAGUACGUGAAAUUGUUGAAAGGGAAACGCUUGAAGUCAGUCGCGUUUGCCGGGAUUCAGCCGCAAGGUGUACUUCCCGGUGGACGGGCCAGCAUCACUUUCGGUCAUCGGAAAAGGGCGAGGGGAAUGUGGCACCUCCGGGUGUGUUAUAGCCUCUUGUCGUAUACGGUGAUCGGGAGUGAGGACCGCCUUUGUAGGAUGCUGGCGUAAUGGCUUUAAACGACCCGUCUUGAAACACGGACCAAGGAGUCUAACAUGCCCGCGAGUGUUCGGGUGGAAAACCCGUGCGCGUAAUGAAAGUGAAAGUUGGGAAGGCUGUCGUGGCCUGCACCGACGCCCGGACUUGAGAUUUAUCGAAGGUUCUGCGGUAGAGCGUGUAUGUUGGGACCCGAAAGAUGGUGAACUAUGCCUGAAUAGGGUGAAGCCAGAGGAAACUCUGGUGGAGGCUCGUAGCGAUUCUGACGUGCAAAUCGAUCGUCAAAUUUGGGUAUAGGGGCGA
rnacentral:rRNA from 1 species